rnacentral:rRNA from 1 species
GGGUUGUGAGGUUAAGCGACUAAGCGUACACGGUGGAUGCCCUGGCAGUCAGAGGCGAUGAAGGACGUGCUAAUCUGCGAUAAGCGUCGGUAAGGUGAUAUGAACCGUUAUAACCGGCGAUUUCCGAAUGGGGAAACCCAGUGUGAUUCGUCACACUAUCAUUAACUGAAUCCAUAGGUUAAUGAGGCGAACCGGGGGAACUGAAACAUCUAAGUACCCCGAGGAAAAGAAAUCAACCGAGAUUCCCCCAGUAGCGGCGAGCGAACGGGGAGCAGCCCAGAGCCUGAAUCAGUGUGUGUGUUAGUGGAAGCGUCUGGAAAGGCGCGCGAUACAGGGUGACAGCCCCGUACACAAAAAUGCACAUACUGUGAGCUCGAUGAGUAGGGCGGGACACGUGGUAUCCUGUCUGAAUAUGGGGGGACCAUCCUCCAAGGCUAAAUACUCCUGACUGACCGAUAGUGAACCAGUACCGUGAGGGAAAGGCGAAAAGAACCCCGGCGAGGGGAGUGAAAAAGAACCUGAAACCGUGUACGUACAAGCAGUGGGAGCACAGAGCAAUCUGUGUGACUGCGUACCUUUUGUAUAAUGGGUCAGCGACUUAUAUUCUGUAGCAAGGUUAACCGAAUAGGGGAGCCGAAGGGAAACCGAGUCUUAACUGGGCGUUAAGUUGCAGGGUAUAGACCCGAAACCCGGUGAUCUAGCCAUGGGCAGGUUGAAGGUUGGGUAACACUAACUGGAGGACCGAACCGACUAAUGUUGAAAAAUUAGCGGAUGACUUGUGGCUGGGGGUGAAAGGCCAAUCAAACCGGGAGAUAGCUGGUUCUCCCCGAAAGCUAUUUAGGUAGCGCCUCGUGAAUUCAUCUCCGGGGGUAGAGCACUGUUUCGGCAAGGGGGUCAUCCCGACUUACCAACCCGAUGCAAACUGCGAAUACCGGAGAAUGUUAUCACGGGAGACACACGGCGGGUGCUAACGUCCGUCGUGAAGAGGGAAACAACCCAGACCGCCAGCUAAGGUCCCAAAGUCAUGGUUAAGUGGGAAACGAUGUGGGAAGGCCCAGACAGCCAGGAUGUUGGCUUAGAAGCAGCCAUCAUUUAAAGAAAGCGUAAUAGCUCACUGGUCGAGUCGGCCUGCGCGGAAGAUGUAACGGGGCUAAACCAUGCACCGAAGCUGCGGCAGCGACACUAUGUGUUGUUGGGUAGGGGAGCGUUCUGUAAGCCUGUGAAGGUGUACUGUGAGGUAUGCUGGAGGUAUCAGAAGUGCGAAUGCUGACAUAAGUAACGAUAAAGCGGGUGAAAAGCCCGCUCGCCGGAAGACCAAGGGUUCCUGUCCAACGUUAAUCGGGGCAGGGUGAGUCGACCCCUAAGGCGAGGCCGAAAGGCGUAGUCGAUGGGAAACAGGUUAAUAUUCCUGUACUUGGUGUUACUGCGAAGGGGGGACGGAGAAGGCUAUGUUGGCCGGGCGACGGUUGUCCCGGUUUAAGCGUGUAGGCUGGUUUUCCAGGCAAAUCCGGAAAAUCAAGGCUGAGGCGUGAUGACGAGGCACUACGGUGCUGAAGCAACAAAUGCCCUGCUUCCAGGAAAAGCCUCUAAGCAUCAGGUAACAUCAAAUCGUACCCCAAACCGACACAGGUGGUCAGGUAGAGAAUACCAAGGCGCUUGAGAGAACUCGGGUGAAGGAACUAGGCAAAAUGGUGCCGUAACUUCGGGAGAAGGCACGCUGAUAUGUAGGUGAAGCGACUUGCUCGUGGAGCUGAAAUCAGUCGAAGAUACCAGCUGGCUGCAACUGUUUAUUAAAAACACAGCACUGUGCAAACACGAAAGUGGACGUAUACGGUGUGACGCCUGCCCGGUGCCGGAAGGUUAAUUGAUGGGGUCAGCGCAAGCGAAGCUCUUGAUCGAAGCCCCGGUAAACGGCGGCCGUAACUAUAACGGUCCUAAGGUAGCGAAAUUCCUUGUCGGGUAAGUUCCGACCUGCACGAAUGGCGUAAUGAUGGCCAGGCUGUCUCCACCCGAGACUCAGUGAAAUUGAACUCGCUGUGAAGAUGCAGUGUACCCGCGGCAAGACGGAAAGACCCCGUGAACCUUUACUAUAGCUUGACACUGAACAUUGAGCCUUGAUGUGUAGGAUAGGUGGGAGGCUUUGAAGUGUGGACGCCAGUCUGCAUGGAGCCGACCUUGAAAUACCACCCUUUAAUGUUUGAUGUUCUAACGUUGACCCGUGAUCCGGGUUGCGGACAGUGUCUGGUGGGUAGUUUGACUGGGGCGGUCUCCUCCUAAAGAGUAACGGAGGAGCACGAAGGUUGGCUAAUCCUGGUCGGACAUCAGGAGGUUAGUGCAAUGGCAUAAGCCAGCUUGACUGCGAGCGUGACGGCGCGAGCAGGUGCGAAAGCAGGUCAUAGUGAUCCGGUGGUUCUGAAUGGAAGGGCCAUCGCUCAACGGAUAAAAGGUACUCCGGGGAUAACAGGCUGAUACCGCCCAAGAGUUCAUAUCGACGGCGGUGUUUGGCACCUCGAUGUCGGCUCAUCACAUCCUGGGGCUGAAGUAGGUCCCAAGGGUAUGGCUGUUCGCCAUUUAAAGUGGUACGCGAGCUGGGUUUAGAACGUCGUGAGACAGUUCGGUCCCUAUCUGCCGUGGGCGCUGGAGAAUUGAGGGGGGCUGCUCCUAGUACGAGAGGACCGGAGUGGACGCAUCACUGGUGUUCGGGUUGUCAUGCCAAUGGCACUGCCCGGUAGCUAAAUGCGGAAGAGAUAAGUGCUGAAAGCAUCUAAGCACGAAACUUGCCCCGAGAUGAGUUCUCCCUGACCCUUUAAGGGUCCUGAAGGAACGUUGAAGACGACGACGUUGAUAGGCCGGGUGUGUAAGCGCAGCGAUGCGUUGAGCUAACCGGUACUAAUGAACCGUGAGGCUUAACCUUACAACGCCGAAGCUGUU